UACGGAGGGUGCAAGCGUUAUCCGGAUUCACUGGGGUUAAAGGGAGCGUAGGUGGGUUGGUAAGUCAGUGGUGAAAUCCCCGAGCUUAACUUGGGAACUGCCAUUGAUACUAUCAGUCUUGAAUACUGUGGAGGUUAGCGGAAUAUGUCAUGUAGCGGUGAAAUGCUUAGAUAUGACAUAGAACACCAAUUGCGAAGGCAGCUGGCUACACAAAUAUUGACACUGAGGCUCGAAAGCGUGGGUAGCGAACAGG
rnacentral:rRNA from 1 species